UUUUCCGGAGGAGCCUUGAUCUUGACCCACAUAGACGGUGAAGAAUUCCCGAGACCAGUCAAUGCCGACACUGUCAAGAGAUACUAUGCAUAAAAAGGGGAAAGGGUGAAAACCCGAAAAAAAAAAAAAAAAAAAAAAAAAAAAAAAAAAAAAAAAAAAAAAAAUAAAAAUCAAGAACCAAAGUGGAGAAAUAAGGAAGAGGGUAUGAAACCGCGAAUAGAGAAGAGACCGUUAAGGCAUGAGACUCCGGAGAACUCGAAAUAAUGGCAGUUAAAAGACUUCAAAAAAACUAACCAUAAGGAAUAUGUGAGAUCUAUCUUUGUACCUUUUCCUCUCCUUUGAAAGUCUAUUCUUUCUAAUAAAGUUACACUUCACUCCUUCUGUUGUUAUUUUCCCCGUGC
rnacentral:misc_RNA from 1 species